rnacentral:rRNA from 1 species
CAGCAGCCGCGGUAAUACGAAGGGGGCUAGCGUUGUUCGGAUUUACUGGGCGUAAAGCGCACGUAGGCGGACUUUUAAGUCAGGGGUGAAAUCCCGGGGCUCAACCCCGGAACUGCCUUUGAUACUGGAAGUCUUGAGUAUGGUAGAGGUGAGUGGAAUUCCGAGUGUAGAGGUGAAAUUCGUAGAUAUUCGGAGGAACACCAGUGGCGAAGGCGGCUCACUGGACCAUUAUUGACGCUGAGGUGCGAAAGCGUGGGGAGCAAACAGGAUUAGAUACCCGGGUAGUCCCUGUCUCUUAUAC